AGCGAACGCUGGCGGCAGGCCUAACACAUGCAAGUCGAACGAAACCUUCGGGUUUAGUGGCGGACGGGUGAGUAACACGUGGGAACGUGCCCUUUGGUUCGGAACAACUCAGGGAAACUUGAGCUAAUACCGGAUGUGCCCUUCGGGGGAAAGAUUUAUCGCCAUUGGAGCGGCCCGCGUAGGAUUAGCUAGUUGGUGGGGUAAUGGCCCACCAAGGCUCCGAUCCUUAGCUGGUCUGAGAGGAUGAUCAGCCACACUGGGACUGAGACACGGCCCAGACUCCUACGGGAGGCAGCAGUGGGGAAUCUUGCGCAAUGGGCGAAAGCCUGAUCCAGCAAUGCCGCGUGAGUGAUGAAGGCCCUAGGGUUGUAAAGCUCUUUUACCCGGGAUGAUAAUGACAGUACCGGGAGAAUAAGCCCCGGCUAACUCCGUGCCAGCCGCCGCAGUAACAC
rnacentral:rRNA from 1 species